rnacentral:sRNA from 1 species
GCCAGGUGUGAUGGGGCACACCUGUAAUCCCAGAGGCUUGGGAGCUGAGGCAGGAGGAUUGUGAGUUCAAGGCCAGCCUCAGAAACUUAGCAAGGCCCUAAGCAACUCAGUGAGAACCUGUCUCUA